rnacentral:rRNA from 1 species
UGAUGGAGGGGGAUAACUACUGGAAACGGUGGCUAAUACCGCAUAAUGUCGCAAGACCAAAGUGGGGGACCUUCGGGCCUCAUGCCAUCAGAUGUGCCCAGAUGGGAUUAGCUAGUAGGUGGGGUAACGGCUCACCUAGGCGACGAUCCCUAGCUGGUCUGAGAGGAUGACCAGCCACACUGGAACUGAGACACGGUCCAGACUCCUACGGGAGGCAGCAGUGGGGAAUAUUGCACAAUGGGCGCAAGCCUGAUGCAGCCAUGCCGCGUGUGUGAAGAAGGCCUUCGGGUUGUAAAGCACUUUCAGCGGGGAGGAAGGCGUUAAGGUUAAUAACCUUGGCGAUUGACGUUACCCGCAGAAGAAGCACCGGCUAACUCCGUGCCAGCAGCCGCGGUAAUACGGAGGGUGCAAGCGUUAAUCGGAAUUACUGGGCGUAAAGCGCACGCAGGCGGUCUGUCAAGUCGGA